rnacentral:rRNA from 1 species
AUUGAACGCUAGCGGCAUGCUUAACACAUGCAAGUCGAACGGCAGCGCGGGUAGCUUGCUACCUGGCGGCGAGUGGCGGACGGGUGAGUAAUGCGUAGGAAUCUACCUUAUAGUGGGGGAUAACUCGAGGAAACUCGAGCUAAUACCGCAUAAUCUCUCAGGAGCAAAGCGGGGGACCUUCGGGCCUCGUGCUGUAAGAUGAGCCUACGUCGGAUUAGCUAGUUGGUGGGGUAAUAGCCUACCAAGGCGACGAUCCGUAGCUGGUCUGAGAGGACGAUCAGCCACACUGGGACUGAGACACGGCCCAGACUCCUACGGGAGGCAGCAGUGGGGAAUAUUGGACAAUGGGGGAAACCCUGAUCCAGCAAUGCCGCGUGUGUGAAGAAGGCCUUCGGGUUGUAAAGCACUUUCAGUGGGGAAGAAAGAACCAAAAUUAAUACUUUUGGGUGUUGACGUUACCUACAGAAGAAGCACUGGCUAACUCUGUGCCAGCCGCCGCGGUAA